AAUUUGAUUAGGAUUUAAUUAAUAGCUAUAACUUCUAAAAAUUUAAAUAGUUAAUUUACUUAUGAUGAACUAGAAUAUAUUCCAACAAGUGGAGGUUUAUUUUAUCUCAUAUUUUGGUGUAUUUUCCAAGAGUCUUAUCCUAUAAGUCUUAUGCUUGCUUGAAAGGUAAUAGUUUUAUUGCUUUAUAUUUUUGAAUUGUUUUAUCUUAUGUUAGUAUAAUCUUUUGAUAUUGUUAUA
rnacentral:lncRNA from 1 species